UAUAUUUUUUUGCUAGUACUUUCUCCUGUGUGCACUGACGUAAAGACGAGCUGCUGUGACAAAGAGUUUCCCUUCGGGGAUCAAUAAACAGGUAUCCUGCAAAACCUGCAAAACUACAACAGCAGAUGGCGCCAGCUGGCAUAUUAGGUGGCCUUUGGCAAUAACGAUGACAUUAUGUACUACUGAUAGAUUGAAACCCCAGGAAAACACUACCCCGCCUUCGCUGAACCACAGGAGAAAUGCAUAUUCGUGUGCUGGUACAGAGGCUGCAGAGUGAUUCGCUGAGUGAGUAGGCUGUCCCUCAUCAGGAGGAUCUGGAUUGCAUCAGCCAGCACCUGUGCUCCAAGUUCUACAAGUCACAUUUGAGGAGGUGCCGUGGUGGAACUGUGGAGACGGAAAGUGUUGUUCCGAAAAAAGGACUGCCUGCCGAAAUAGGACACCACCCCCCCCCAACUCAGGAAUGCAAAGUCUGACAUUGACCCAAUUUCCUAUAGGACUGCUUGCGUGUCAUGACGUCUACUGUCUACGUCUAAGUCCUGAAAAGUUUGAAAGUUUGGGAGUCUUAUUUUGCCCGGGAUGCUCGCAGAAAUAUGUUCUGUAAAUUAUUCUCAGUGGAAUCAUUUAGAAAUGAUUAGUAAGAAAUAGGCCUGUAGGCUAUCAUCACCAGGGCAGCAUGUUUGAUGUAAUGUAUGAAAAAGGCAGCACAACCACAGUUUAUAUAUAUA